UACGUAGGGGGCUAGCGUUGUCCGGAAUCAUUGGGCGUAAAGAGCUCGUAGGCGGCUCAGUAAGUCGGGUGUGAAACCCUCAGGCUCAACCUGGGGACGCCACCCGAUACUGCUGUGGCUAGAGUCCAGUAGGGGAGUGUGGAAUUCCCGGUGUGAGCGGUGAAAUGCGCAGAUAUCGGGAGGAACACCAGCGGCGAAGGCGGCACUCUGGGCUGGUACUGACGCUGAGGAGCGAAAGCGUGGGUAGCAAACAGG
rnacentral:rRNA from 1 species